rnacentral:lncRNA from 1 species
CCAUACAAGUAUGAAUCGCCGCCGCCACCACCAUACAAGUAUGAAUCGCCUCCUCCACCACCAUAUAAGUACGAAUCGCCACCGCCACCACCAUACAAGUACGAGUCGCCUCCUCCACCUCCGUACAAGUAUGAAUCGCCUCCUCCCCCACCAUACUACUACAAAUCACCACCACCACCUCCUUACAAGUAUGAAUCUCCCCCUCCACCUCCAUAUUACUACAAAUCUCCACCCCCGCCACCACCUUACUACUACAAAUCACCACCACCACCUUCUCCUGUCUACAAAUAUAAAUCUCCACCACCACCACCUUACAAGUACGAAUCUCCUCCUCCACCUCCAUACUAUUACAAGUCUCCACCACCACCGCCGUAUUACUACAAGUCUCCACCACCACCACCUCCAGUUUACAAAUACAAAUCUCCUCCUCCGCCACCAUAUUACUACAAAUCACCACCUCCUCCAUCACCAGUAUAUUACUACAAAUCUCCUCCUCCACCAGCGUAUUACUACAAAUCUCCCCCACCGCCUGUCUACUAUUACAAAUCCCCGCCACCUCCAGCUUACCACUACCAAUCGCCACCCCCACCAAGUUACAAGCUGGUAGUGGUCACGGGCAAGGUCUAUUGCAACAGAUGCUGGAACACCACAAGCAGAUACCUUCAGGCAUCACCACAUGGGUCUGCUAGGUACAUUCUCAAUUGCAUUGUAUUCGAUAUUGUUCUCCUCACUCAUUUCCUCUUGAUACUGUGUGCAAUAAUGCAGGUGGCAAAGUGAAGAUCACAUGUGGCGAAUCUUACUACUACGGCUACACCAACAAGCAUGGAAUCUUUAGAAUUGAGCUCCCGCACCAAUCCUGGGAAGAAGCAAGCAGCUGCAAGGCCAAGAUUAUCAAGAGCAGCUACAUCAAGUCGUCAUGCAAUGUCAUCACGGACUACAGGUCUGGUGCAACAGGGGCCAAGCUCAAGUUCAAAUCGAAAACAGAGAAGGAGCUCGUCUUGACAGCCGGUCCUUUCAUCUAUGCAACUCCAGAGCCAUCGUCAGUCUGCUUCUACACAUCACCUCCCUAUGAGUACAAGUCACCUCCGCCACCAACACCGGUCUACCAUUACGCCUCUCCGCCACCUCCGGUCUACUACUACAAAUCGCCACCUCCUCCUUCACCGGUUUACUACUACAAAUCCCCUCCUCCUCCUUCGCCGGUCUACUAUUACAAAUCCCCGCCUCCACCACCAUACUAUUACAAGUCCCCACCUCCACCUCCGCCUAAGUAUUACUACAAGUCGCCCCCACCACCGUCUCCAUACUAUUACAAAUCCCCGCCCCCUCCACCGUACUAUUACAAAUCCCCACCACCACCUCCCUACAAAUACGAAUCGCCGCCGCCUCCUCCUUACAAAUACGAGUCCCCACCUCCACCACCUUACUAUUACAAGUCCCCACCACCACCUCCAUACAAAUAUGAAUCCCCGCCACCUCCAGUCUACAAAUAUGAGUCUCCGCCACCCCCAGUUUACAAAUACAAGUCGCCACCACCACCAUACAAGUACGAGUCACCACCACCACCUCCAUACAAGUAUGAAUCCCCGCCACCUCCACCUUAUUACUACAAGUCCCCUCCACCACCACCAUACAAGUACGAGUCGCCACCACCUCCUCCGUACAAGUAUGAAUCUCCACCACCACCAGUUUACAAAUACAAGUCACCUCCGCCGCCACCUUAUUACUACAAAUCCCCACCGCCACCUCCAUACAAGUACGAGUCUCCACCUCCUCCUCCGUACAAGUAUGAAUCUCCACCACCACCACCUUAUUACUACAAAUCCCCCCCGCCACCUCCAUACAAGUACGAGUCACCGCCUCCUCCUCCGUACAAGUAUGAAUCUCCACCACCGCCAGUUUACAAAUACAAGUCACCCCCGCCACCACCUUAUUACUACAAAUCCCCGCCACCACCUCCAUACAAGUACGAGUCUCCACCUCCUCCUCCGUACAAGUAUGAAUCUCCACCACCACCUCCUUAUUACUACAAAUCCCCGCCGCCACCUCCCUACAAGUAUGAAUCCCCGCCACCACCUCCCUACAAAUACGAGUCACCUCCACCACCACCUUACUAUUACAAAUCUCCUCCACCGCCUCCAUACAAGUAUGAGUCGCCACCACCACCAGUCUACAAAUACGAGUCUCCGCCACCCCCAGUUUACAAAUACAAGUCGCCCCCUCCACCUUAUUACUACAAGUCUCCGCCACCCCCGCCAUACAAAUAUGAAUCCCCACCUCCACCUCCCUACAAGUAUGAAUCGCCUCCUCCUCCACCUUACUACUACAAGUCCCCUCCACCACCUCCCUACAAAUAUGAAUCCCCGCCACCACCUCCCUAUAAAUACGAGUCACCACCACCACCACCUUACUAUUACAAAUCUCCUCCACCGCCUCCAUACAAGUAUGAGUCGCCACCACCACCUCCCUACAAAUACGAGUCACCACCACCACCACCUUACAAGUAUGAAUCCCCACCUCCACCUCCGUACAAGUAUGAAUCACCUCCACCGCCUCCAUACAAGUAUGAAUCCCCUCCUCCACCUCCCUACAAAUACGAGUCACCACCCCCACCACCUUAUUACUACAAAUCGCCUCCGCCACCGGAGUAUCAAUCACCUCCUUACGUGUAUAAAUCUCCAC